rnacentral:rRNA from 1 species
UACGAAGGGGGCUAGCGUUAUCCGGAAUGAUUGGGCGUAAAGCGUCCGCAGGUGGCUAUGUAAGUCUGCUGUUAAAGAGUGAGGCUCAACCUCAUAAGAGCAGUGGAAACUACAUGGCUAGAGUGCGUUCGGGGCAGAGGGAAUUCCUGGUGUAGCGGUGAAAUGCGUAGAGAUCAGGAAGAACACCGGUGGCGAAAGCGCUCUGCUAGGCCGCAACUGACACUGAGGGACGAAAGCUAGGGGAGCGAAUGGG